rnacentral:rRNA from 1 species
UACGUAGGGUGCGAGCGUUAAUCGGAAUUACUGGGCGUAAAGCGUGCGCAGGCGGUUUUGUAAGCCAGAUGUGAAAUCCCCGGGCUUAACCUGGGAAUGGCAUUUGGGACUGCAAGGCUGGAGUGCGGCAGAGGAGACUGGAAUUCCUGGUGUAGCAGUGAAAUGCGUAGAUAUCAGGAGGAAUACCGAUGGCGAGGGCAGGUCUCGUGG